rnacentral:rRNA from 1 species
AUACGUAGGGUGCGAGCGUUGUCCGGAAUUACUGGGCGUAAAGAGCUCGUAGGUGGUUUGUCGCGUCGUCUGUGAAAUUCCGGGGCUUAACUCCGGGCGUGCAGGCGAUACGGGCAUAACUUGAGUACUGUAGGGGAGACUGGAAUUCCUGGUGUAGCGGUGAAAUGCGCAGAUAUCAGGAGGAACACCGGUGGCGAAGGCGGGUCCCUGGGCAGUAACUGACGCUGAGGAGCGAAAGCAUGGGUAGCGAACAGGAUUAGAUACCCUGGUAGUCCAUGCCGUAAACGGUGGGCGCUAGGUGUAGGGGUCUUCCACGACUUCUGUGCCGUAGCUAACGCAUUAAGCGCCCCGCCUGGGGAGUACGGCCGCAAGACUAAAACUCAAAUGAAUUGACGGGG